AGUGUACCUUUUCCGUCCUGCCUUUUUAGUAGCUCCGGGUAAAUAUUGAUCUGCCUCCAGUUUACCUCCUCCCUGAAUGGCCAUUUGCAGACUAAGGAACUAGCCUCUGUAGGGACUUGAAUUUUGUGUUACUUUCCGGCCCUGUUCGCCCCCCUUCCUUCCUCCAAGUGGCAUUGUAAAACUCACAGUGACAAAGAGACAGGAUAGGGUUCGAGGCCCCAGUUCCUGAGGACUUGAGGACUGUUUUACAUACGGGACAGACACGGCUAGAGGCCAAGGUCAAGUUGAAAGUUGCAGUCUAGCCGGUGUGAGAACUGCCAUGCCAGCGGGGAGAUUCAGGGAGCUGCCACAAGGCCCACUGCUCACCUUCCUUCU
rnacentral:lncRNA from 1 species